AACACACUGGUAAAAAACAGUCCUUCAAAAAACUGAGACAAUGAGCAAGUAGUGCCAUGAAUAUUCAAAGCUGUAAUUGCUAUGGAAACCAUCUCCAGGAAUUCAACCUUUAAGUAUCAGAGGCACAUCAUGAUAUGAUGACAGCAAAAGAAAAUGUAAUACUGUCUAAGACUUCGAAGUUCAAAAUGCAAGAGAAAAUCAAAGCACUGUGUAGGAAAAGCCUUCGCCUUCUCCCAUCUUCCCGGUUCUUUGGGGAGGAUAUUGAGGUGGGUGAGCCCUGCAGUAUCCCUUUCUGCCUGGGCUUCCCAAACGGCCCCUACCAGUACUGCCAAAAAGGAUGCUCUUUCCUUAAUCAAAUCAUAACUGUAACCCGCCUUGACCAGCAGAACUGAAAAACCUGGUGUAACAAUAUUCAAGCCCUGCCGUUCAUUUUCAGGCUUCCAGCAGGCCAAUAACGGGGUCAGGUAGCAAGGGCAAGGCAUCAGAGAUCAUCAGUGAUGGCCCUGAUUUCAUUUCUUUUAUAUGAAAUAUUCUCAGCUUAUUCUAUUGUACUUGUACCACAUGAAGGUAUUAAUGAGUAGUCCACAAUAUUUUCUUCGUUUCAUCUCACUUCCUUCCAGUAGCCUGCCUGCUGACAAAACAGAGGUGAUCCCACAAUUGUUCCUGUCAGCCUCAACCCCUAUUUCUGAGUGUCACUGCAAUGCUUUUGAUAUUGAUUCGUUAAAUAAAACUAGUAAAUGCAAUACGCAUAUAAGUACUAUUCUGAAUGAUGGUGAAAAAAACGUGAUGGUGAAAAAAAAAAUUUCUGAUGAACUAGCAUUUGUUCUUUGUAGGUAUAUAAACUAUGUACCUAAAAUUUAUAUAAAAAAGAAUAUCACCCCAAGUAUUAUUGCAGAAGUCAGCUGCAUUUCAAACACUAACAGCUCACUUUUCUUUUUUCAGGUACAUCUUAUUACAGUCUUAUAAAGCAAAAGUCCACAAACACUUGGAUUUAUUGAAGGUUUACAGUAAUAUUUUGUUAACGUUGUUGUUGAUAAGCACUAACCUAUGCUCUUAGAGAAGGGAAUUUAUUAGCAAAUUCUGCACACCCAUAUUUGUGCAAUUAUGUUUUUUUUUUAAUGACAUACAUCCUUACUUAUUUUAGACCCAUAGCUCUAGUUUAGUUUCAUGGCAGUAUAAAUUAGUUUGCCUAUUGGAUAUCUUUUCAGGUUGGGAUUUAAGGUCACUCUAGGAAGGGCAAAGUUACAUCUUCAGUUAACUUGUAUCUGAUGCCAUGUCACAUUCACUUUUUCAGCACGCUAUUUAAUUUUUUUGCCUUUUCUACCUUUUUUUAGUUCGAGUGUCCUAAGCGCUAGCAACCAAAGCUCCCCACAGCAAACAACCCCUAGGAAAUGCCUGAUUUCCACACUGCUGUCAGUCACACGUCCUGCCAGAGGAGGCUGCCUCAGAUCUCUGCAGACUACUUUAACAAAGCCCUGUGUAACUCUAGUUCUGUCUCUUAUGUUAUGCUUAUGUUGCUGGUUUAAACUGCAGUUUAUAAAGAAUCAUUUAAUCCAUACCUCUUUAACGGUAUCUUUACUUAGGCGGAUUUACAUCUUUAGAAUUCUGUUCACUUUCCUGGCUGUAGCAUGGUUUGAGUCUCGCAUACCACAAAAUUUGUUAUUGUAUAAUUCCUCAUUAGCAUACAAAGAUUAUAGCUCUAAAGUAAUGUACUUGUUUUCUUAGCAAAAGAAUGAAAUGAUGGGGGCAGGUCUUAUACUUUCAACGAAGUAAGAAAAUGUUCAGAUGAGAUUUUUGAGUAUUGUAUUUGUAAAAUAUUUUAUCUGACUAACAUGAAGUUUAAAAGUGAUUCAAAGAACUCCUGGAGCUCAGGAGAGACAACUAACUAUUCAGGUCUAAACUAAGGAGCCAGCUUCAGUCUUAACUAUGAACUGAUUAUUGCUGCUUCAUAUUUAAAGGUUUUCUACAGGCUCUGAAGAAUGUAAGCCAACAGUUUCCUCUCUAUUUUAGAUUGAAUUCAAAAUGUCAUUAAAAAUAGAACAGAUCACACAUUCAUAAUACAAUCUUACUAAGAAAUCUGAGAGGUAUCAUAACUUGGUACAUAUUUAACUUUUUGGAUAGAGUUACUGAAAGCAAAGACUUAUUGAUCUGAAAUGCAAGUAAAGAUGUAGCUCCCGAUUUCGACUUUUGUAUUGCAUGAUGAAUCCCAGGAAAUUCAUUCAAGUUCAUAAAUGCUCAGGAGAUGUUCCAGGUACUUUUUACUAAUGAGAAGGUUCCUUUUCUUGAUGUGUUUCUUGGAAAUACAAUUCAUUCGAACUAGGAUAUAAAAGCCAACAAUCACUGAAAUAAAGGGAAGAGACAGUAAUACAGUCCCUGAACUUUUACCUUUGGAAAAUAACACUGACAGGAGAUAGCAUUGUUUCUCACUUUCAACUGCCCCAAAUGAAAACAUUGUAAGAAAACAGUGAUGUUGUACUAUUAAGGAUCUGUACCUCAUGUUUUGAAUUGGACACUUAGUUUUUCUUUCCUUAAGCUGUUAACCACCCUUCCUUACUUCACUGGCAUGGGUCAGCUAGGUAGACAGCCAUUCAAUUUAUUUACAAGUCCUGUUUUACGUGGCACAGUCGAAGCAGGGAUGAGUCUUUUUCUCUGUUCAGAAAUCUAAAUCUCUUUUCCUAGAAAGCAGUAAUCUAAAUUAAGGUGACCUAGUGCUUCUGCUGUGCUAAAGAAUUCUGGAAGGAGAUAUGCACCCUUGGAUAGUAAAUUCAGUUUUUCUCUCGCAGAUAGCAAUAGAACAGCCAAAAAUACCAGAGUUCAUUUGUUUUAAAAUGAAAGCUAUCCUAUUGUUUCAACCUAUACAACAACAUACUCUAAACUCCUAACUUCUAAUCCUAACACUGGUAUGUCUUGCACCUUGGGCAAGAGACCCAUAAAAGAACUGACAGCAUCACUGCCAGAGCUCUGCAGCUGGCUGUGCUCUGAAUACAAACAGCUCUGCAAUACAACCAUCACUGCCUCGUUAAAACACGUCUCACUUUAGACUCUGACAGCGUUAAGGGCCCCAAAUCAAACAGAAAUGUUUGCAAAAAGUCUAUAUGAGCAGCAGCUCAGCAGUGAAAUGAUAAGAAGACCUCUCUGCAAUAGUGAAAUUCACUCUAUUUGAUUUUGAGACAUCAGUGAAGGCUGUUGGUUCUAAUUUCUCUUCCUUUUUGGUGCUUGAUAUGGCUUUUAUAAAGGAGGUGAAAAAGUGUGCUCCAUUGUCUACUUAGACCAGUCUCUAAUUUAAAAAGACUUAAUACAAUUAAUACAGAGUUUAGUUCAUAGUUCCACGAG